AACGAACGCUGGCGGCAGGCCUAACACAUGCAAGUCGAGCGCCCUUUCGGGGGAGCGGCGGACGGGUGAGUAACGCGUGGGAAUAUGCCCUUCUCUACGGAAUAGCCUCGGGAAACUGAGAGUAAUACCGUAUACGCCCUAUGGGGGAAAGAUUUAUCGGGGAAGGAUUAGCCCGCGUUGGAUUAGGUAGUUGGUGGGGUAAUGGCCUACCACGCCGACGAUCCAUAGCUGGUUUGAGAGGAUGAUCAGCCACACUGGGACUGAGACACGGCCCAGACUCCUACGGGAGGCAGCAGUGGGGAAUCUGAGACAAUGGGGGCAACCCUGAGCGAGCCAUGCCGAGUGAGUGAUGAAGGCCUUAGGGUUGUAAAGCUCUUUCAGCUGGGAAGAUAAUGACGGUACCAGCAGAAGAAGCCCCGGCUAACUCCGUG
rnacentral:rRNA from 1 species